AGAUUGAACGCUAGCGGGAUGCUUUACACAUGCAAGUCGAACGGCAGCGCGGACUUCGGUCUGGCGGCGAGUGGCGAACGGGUGAGUAAUAUAUCGGAACGUGCCCAGUAGCGGGGGAUAACUACGCGAAAGCGUGGCUAAUACCGCAUACGCCCUACGGGGGAAAGGGGGGAUUCUUCGGAACCUCUCACUAUUGGAGCGGCCGAUAUCAGAUUAGCUAGUUGGUGAGGUAAAGGCUCACCAAGGCGACGAUCUGUAGCUGGUUUGAGAGGACGACCAGCCACACUGGGACUGAGACACGGCCCAGACUCCUACGGGAGCAGCAGUGGGAAUUUGGACAAUGGGGGAAACCUGAUCCAGCCAUCCCGCGUGUGCGAUGAAGGCC
rnacentral:rRNA from 1 species